rnacentral:rRNA from 1 species
UACGGAGGGUGCAAGCGUUAAUCGGAAUUACUGGGCGUAAAGCGCACGCAGGUGGCUGAGUCAGUCGAUUGUGAAAGCCCUGGGCUUAACCUGGGAAUUGCAGUCGAUACUACUCGGCUAGAGUACGGAAGAGGCGAGUGGAAUUCCUGGUGUAGCGGUGGAAUGCGCAGAUAUCAGGAGGAACACCGGUGGCGAAGGCGGGUCUCUGGGCCGAAAUUGACGCUGAGGAGCGAAAGCGUGGGGAGCAAACAGG